rnacentral:rRNA from 1 species
UCGAGAAUCAUUCGCAAUGGGCGAAAGCCUGACGAUGCGACGCCGUGUGAGCGAAGAAGGCCUUCGGGUUGUAAAGCUCUUUCGCCUGGGAACAAGAGAAGCUAGCGAAUAGGUAGCUAAUUUGAGUGUACCAGGUAAAGAAGCACCGGCUAACUCCGUGCCAGCAGCUGCGGUAAUACGGAGGGUGCAAGCAUUAAUCGGAUUUACUGGGCGUAAAGGGCGCGUAGGCUGUUGUAUAAGUCAGAUGUGAAAUACCAUAGCUCAACUGUGGUGCUGCAUUUGAGACUAUAUGACUAGAGGGUAGGCGGAGGAAAUGGAAUUCCACGUGUAGCGGUGAAAUGCGUAGAUAUGUGGAGGAACACCAGAGGCGAAGGCGGUUUCCUAGCCUAACCCAGACGCUGAGGCGCGAAAGCAAGGGGAUCAAACA